rnacentral:rRNA from 1 species
GAUGAACGCUAGCGGCAGGCUUAACACAUGCAAGUCGAGGGGUAACAGGGAUUGCUUGCAAUCCGCUGACGACCGGCGCACGGGUGCGUAACGCGUAUACAAUUUGCCUUAUACAGAGGGAUAGCCUUUAGAAAUGAAGAUUAAUACCUCAUGGUCUAUUAGAAUCGCAUGGUUUUAAUAGUAAAGAUUUAUCGGUAUAAGAUGAGUAUGCGUUCUAUUAGCUAGUAGGUAAGGUAACGGCUUACCUAGGCGACGAUAGAUAGGGGUCCUGAGAGGGAGAUCCCCCACACUGGUACUGAGACACGGACCAG